CAUCAUGUUAACAGUGAAUUAAAAUAUAAGUUUUAAAAUCUACUGAAAUAUGAUUAUUUAUUUGUUUACAAUGAUACCUCCCUUUCCACGUAUCAUUGUUGAAGACUUAGGUUAUAAAAGUAAAGAGAGAAGAUCGCUAAAUUAGCAAGGUGUUUUCUUUUUUGGAAUGGGAAAAUUUGAGAAUUAUUAAUGUUUUUUUUAGGUAUUGGGUUGAGGUUAUGAGUCUCAUAUUGCACUCAGGUGCUGGAGGGAUCUUGGUAAUGGACACUAAUGAGUGUAGUAGGGCUCUUUUUGUUUCCUUUAUUUUUCUCUUAAAUGAAAGGCGUCAAAAGGAUGCGUAUGGAGGUCACUUGAAAGACGUGAACCCUUUAGGUCUAGCUAGCAGUUUAAUGGAUCAGUACAUGAAAAGCACCACCGCGGUCCUGCUUGAACACAUGACUUUCUGAUGAGUAUUUCAUGUGCAUAGGUCUAAAUAGGAUUUCAAAUUUGCCUACUUCAUUGGUAACAUUUUGUUUGGUUCAUAACCUUGUGUACACCUUGAACACUAAACGUCUUAUGCACUUAUUGUGGUUUGUGCCACUUUAUGAAAUAUGUAUAUUCAAUUGAUUCCUUUGUCUUGAAUUAUUUUUGAUAUAAAAUUACUUCAAAUUUAAUUAGUAACUCAUUAAUCAUAUCUUGUCUACUUAAACCUGUUUUAAUUUAUAAAAAUACUUAAUUACUUGGGUAAUAUAAUACAUUUAUACAAAUCUAUAGAGAUGGUGCUUUGUUAAGAUCUAACAAAUGUGCCAAAUGUCUUCAUGUUGGGUUUGUCAUGUUUUUUAUACCUGGAACAUUUAUUUAAUGCCGUUUCCAUGUAAGAACCAGGAAAUAAAUCAAGUCUAACAAUGCAAUUACCGAAGGCCUCAUGUUUAUUGUAUACUAUAUCUGUUAACACUUCAUAUGAUUUAUAUGACUUUGUUCCAUCAGCAUGAAAUCUUCAAACACCUGCUGGUUUAUUUUUCGAAAGCCUUGCCAUAACCGGAGAAGAUUAAUGUUGAAAGCAAGUGCUGAACGGCGAGACAAAUGUGCUGUAUUAUUCAUCAUCUCUGCUUUCAGUGUCUUUUGUUAGUGUGUUUGUUUUGCAAUGCAAAAGCAGAUAUCAUCUACUUAUACUGACUUUUCAGCAUGUGUGUUCCCAGGGAAUUAGACCCAUGACCUUGGCGUUGUGAGUGCUUGUUGAGCUGAAUGCCCAUGACGUGGAUAUGCUUUCAAAAGAGCUUGGCAUUGUAAUUCACAAUCCACUUUCUUCAUAUAGAAAACUCAGAUCUUUUCACAGAGUAAAGAAAAUGACAGCGGGAUGGAAUGACAUCAGGGGUGUGAUCCUGGGUUGGACGUUGCAGAUUGAUGUCAAAGUGAUUGGAACAGCUGGGCCUUCUAACUGGGCUUGACGCCAGCUCUCACACAUUAGCUUUCAAAAAACAGUCCAUCACCCUUGAUAAGUGGCACCUGAAUGAGACCUGGAGUGCAGAGAUUCAGUCUGCUAGAGCCAUCAUUAAAAUCCUGUCAGGGGGACUUUCCUGUUGGCCAACAAUGUGACGGUACCUUGUUUUCUCCCACAUUAUCUGCAAGUUUUUCUUGUCAUUACACCCGCAGGACGCAUCAUAGUUUUUUUUUUUACCAAUGCUGUUGACAUAACAAUGCUGGUUCUUUUAUAGUACAACUUUUUGACUAGUUUGACGUGCAAUUCAAGCAGAGUAAGAUCUAGUAAACCAGGAUCCUGAAUGCUUUUAAAUGACUAAUGUGCGUAACCUUCCAUGUGGUGAUUUGCUUUGAAGGUGUUGUCAUACUGUUGUAAUUCUGACGUCAGAUCUGUUGUUGAUAUAAAGGUUGCUUCCUUUGACCAUCUGAUCUGUCAAAUAAUUCAUAAUUGUUAAUACAAACUUCCCAGGAGGACUUAAACGCACCGUAGUGAACUCCUAUAUAUUUGUGACCUCUUUUCCUGAUUCACUUUUUCCAGCAAAGUCCCAACUCUCAGAUUCUACACAUUGUGCUGCAGUAAAUCUAAGGAAGAUGUGCGAGUUCUAUCAAAGUGUUCCAGUCGCUCUCUCGGCUGGAAGAGCUCUCAACAGCUGCUCAUUUUAGACUGUAAUCAAAUGCCAUUCUCCCCCUCUCCUCACAAUGUCUCUUUGAAAGGCAAGUAGAGUACAUUGAAUGCUGGAGAUUUCAAGUAUGCUGGAUACACAACAUUAUCUUAGCAUUUUCUGAUGCAAGCAUCCAAAAUCUAUGCACUCUUUUUUUAAUCAAGUGGCCAUUAUAAAGCACAAGAGAAAUGUGACUGUAAAAUUAGCAGAGGUUAGCCGAUCAAA